rnacentral:rRNA from 1 species
GACGAACGCUGGCGGCGUGCCUAAUACAUGCAAGUCGAACGAACUCUGGUAUUGAUUGGUGCUUGCAUCAUGAUUUACAUUUGAGUGAGUGGCGAACUGGUGAGUAACACGUGGGAAACCUGCCCAAAAGCGAGGGAUAACACCUGGAAACAGAUGCUAAUACCGCAUAACAACUUGGACCGCAUGGUCCGAGUUUGAAAGAUGGCUUCGGCUAUCACUUUUGGAUGGUCCCGCGGCGUAUUAGCUAGAUGGUGGGGUAACGGCUCACCAUGGCAAUGAUACGUAGCCGACCUGAGAGGGUAAUCGGCCACAUUGGGACUGAGACACGGCCCAAACUCCUACGGGAGGCAGCAGUAGGGAAUCUUCCACAAUGGACGAAAGUCUGAUGGAGCAACGCCGCGUGAGUGAAGAAGGGUUUCGGCUCGUAAAACUCUGUUGUUAAAGAAGAACAUAUCUGAGAGUAACUGUUCAGGUAUUGACGGUAUUUAACCAGAAAGCCACGGCUAACUACGUGCCAGCAGCCGCGGUAAUACGUAGGUGGCAAGCGUUGUCCGGAUUUAUUGCGCGUAUAGCGAGCGCAGGCGGUUAUUUAAGUCUGAUGUGAAAGCCUUCGGCUCAACCGAAGAAGUGCAUCGGAAACUGAGAAACUUGAGUGCAGAAGAGGACAGUGGAACUCCAUGUGUAGCGGUGAAAUGCGUAGAUAUAUGGAAGAACAGCAGUGGCGAAGGCGUCUGUCUGGUCUGUAACUGACGCUGAGGCUCGAAAGUAUGGGUAGCAAACAGGAUUAGAUACCCUGGUAGUCCAUACCGUAAACGAUGAAUGCUAAGUGUUGGAGGGUUUCCGCCCUUCAGUGCUGCAGCUAACGCAUUAAGCAUUCCGCCUGGGGAGUACGGCCGCAAGGCUGAAACUCAAAGGAAUUGACGGGGGCCCGCACAAGCGGUGGAGCAUGUGGUUUAAUUCGAAGCUACGCGAAGAACCUUACCAGGUCUUGACAUACUAUGCAAAUGUAAGAGAUUAGACGUUCCCUUCGGGGACAUGGAUACAGGUGGUGCAUGGUUGUCGUCAGCUCGUGUCGUGAGAUGUUGGGUUAAGUCCCGCAACGAGCGCAACCCUUAUUAUCAGUUGCCAGCAUUAAGUUGGGCACUCUGGUGAGACUGCCGGUGACAAACCGGAGGAAGGUGGGGAUGACGUCAAAUCAUCAUGCCCCUUAUGACCUGGGCUACACACGUGCUACAAUGGAUGGUACAACGAGUUGCGAACUCGCGAGAGUAAGUUAAUCUCUUAAAGCCAUUCUCAGUUCGGAUUGUAGGCUGCAACUCGCCUACAUGAAGUCGGAAUCGUUAGUAAUCGCGGAUCAGCAUGCCGCGGUGAAUACGUUCCCGGGCCUUGUACACACCGCCCGUCACCAUGAGAGUUUGUAACACCCAAAGUCGGUGGGGUAACCUUUUAGGAACCAGCCGCCUAAGGUGGGACAGAUGAUUAGGGUGAAG